rnacentral:misc_RNA from 1 species
UCCGGUUUGUCACCGGCAGUCUCGCAUGAGUCCCCAACUAAAUGCUGGCAACAUGCGACAGGGGUUGCGCUCGUUGCGGGACUUAACCCAACAUCUCACGGCACGAGCUGACGACAGCCAUGCAGCACCUGUGCUAGCCCCUUACGGACACGGGCUUUCACCCGCUUUAACUAGCAUGUCAAGCCCAGGUAAGGUUCUUCGCGUCUCAUCGAAUUAAGCCACAUGCUCCGCCGCUUGUGCGGGUCCCCGUCAAUUCUUUUGAGUUUCAGCCUUGCGGCCGUACUCCCCAGGCGGAGUGCUUAAUGCGUUAACUGCAGCACUAAGGGGCGGAAACCCCCUAACACCUAGCACUCAUCGUUUACGGCGUGGACUAC